rnacentral:misc_RNA from 1 species
GCAUAUGACUACUGGCAGGAUCAACCAGGUAGCAUUCYUCAUUCGACAUCAACAACGCAUGAGACGAUUCACAAGGAUUCGUUCAACACGUGAAUGAUUGUCAUUCGCACGAAGCGUGGGACGCUCGAUUUGGGGCAAACCAAGGUUUGAAUGACCUUGCACCCRCUCAAUGUUCCGUACCCGAGAAACCACGCACAACAUCAUGGUUCAACAAUCCAAGCACAACUAAGUGACGUGAAAAGAGAAACACAACGAGUGCUACAAAGUCCACCAAACGCCGCAUCCCGAAAAAGGGUUCAACGCUGGAUGGAUAACCGAAUUUUCCAACAAAGCAAUGCCCUCAAAUUAGGAACUCAGAACAAGAAACCAAAAACGGUCAAGACAUGCUCAAUCCGACAACUGAAAAGGGAUGCACAACACGCUGUCGCUGCUCAAGCAGGGAUCCAACGUGCCAAUACAAACCAAACACCACUCA